AUAUUUGCCUGGCAGGGGAGACACUAUGAUCACAAAGAUGGUUUUCCCAGAGUGAGGCUGAUCCAUUGCACUCCGGAUGUGCUGACCCCUGCAAUUUCCCAAAUGUGGGAAACUCAACUGCAUAAUUUGUGGUAGUUGGAGAUUGUGUUUGUGCUGUCCCCUG
rnacentral:snRNA from 1 species